rnacentral:rRNA from 1 species
AGGACGAACGCUGGCGGCGUGCCUAACACAUGCAAGUCGAACGAGGUCCAACCGGUGGCAACACUGGUGAAGACCGAGUGGCGAACGGGUGAGUAACACGUGAGCAACCUGCCUCGAAGACUGGGAUAACCCCGGGAAACCGGAGCUAAUACCGGAUACCCCCACCGGGUCGCAUGGCCUGGUGAGGAAAUGGAUUCCGCUUUGAGAGGGGCUCGCGGCCUAUCAGCUUGAUGGUGGGGUAAUGGCCUACCAUGGCACCGACGGGUAGCUGGUCUGAGAGGACGAUCAGCCACACUGGGACUGAGACACGGCCCAGACUCCUACGGGAGGCAGCAGUGGGGAAUCUUGCGCAAUGGGCGAAAGCCUGACGCAGCAACGCCGCGUGUGGGACGAAGGCCUUCGUGGGUUGUAAACCACUUUCAGCAGGGACGAUUGUGACGGUACUGCAGAGAGCCCCGGCAACUACGUGCCAGCAGCCGC